rnacentral:rRNA from 1 species
CCUACGGGCGGCAGCAGUGGGGAAUAUUGGACAAUGGGCGAAAGCCUGAUCCAGCCAUGCCGCGUGUGUGAAGAAGGCCUUCGGGUUGUAAAGCACUUUCAGUGGGGAAGAAAGCCUUGGGGCUAAUACCCUCGAGGAAGGACAUCACCCACAGAAGAAGCACCGGCUAACUCCGCGCCAGCAGCCGCGGUAAUACGGAGGGUGCGAGCGUUAAUCGGAAUUACUGGGCGUAAAGCGCGCGUAGGCGGUCUGAUAAGCCGGUUGUGAAAGCCCCGGGCUCAACCUGGGAACGGCAUCCGGAACUGUCAGGCUAGAGUGCAGGAGAGGAAGGUAGAAUUCCCGGUGUAGCGGUGAAAUGCGUAGAGAUCGGGAGGAAUACCAGUGGCGAAGGCGGCCUUCUGGACUGACACUGACGCUGAGGUGCGAAAGCGUGGGUAGCAAACAGGAUUAGAUACCCGUGUAGUC